GGUCAUUUUGAAUUCAGUUCUGGUUGUAACACAUUCAGAAAUCUUUUACUGUCAUAGAAUUUUUAUGAUCCCUGUCCCAUAUUCAGUCAUAUGGCUGCAUACAGAGUCACAACCCACAGUUUAGGAAGCUGUGGUCCGGACAAAAUCUGAAUUGGCCGUCUUUAUCAAGAUUCUCCAGCUUAACAGGUCGCUCUCUGUGGUUCCUGUUUACGGUUGAAGAUGUGAUCUCUCAGCUUCCUGCUCCACCCACAUGCUGUCGGACUUUCCUCACCAUUAUCAAACUUCCCAUCUGGAAACUAAAACCCAUUUUAUAGUGUUUUUGGUCAUACUGUUCCAUCACAACAGAAAAGUAACAGAAGCACACCGUCUCUGGGCACCUGCCUCUCCAGGAGAGUUAGAUUGUGCAUGUUGGCUCCACUGAAGAUUGAAGUCCCGAUAGUGUGUUCAGAUCGCAUCUGUGCGUUUAUAGUCAAAACCCAAGUCAAUGAAUCCCACUCUAGAAUUGCGGCUCCUAAUUCCUGUGAGAUGAUGUUGAAAAUCUAGAGCACUGAGGUAGCUUCUCUCUUCCUCCAUCUACUAAGGACUCUGGGCAAGGCUUCUGGGCUUUUACUGACUCCCCACAUGAGGGACCAGGAGGGCAAGGAAAGGUUACAGGUCAUGAGAUAAAGCACCAUCCUCUAGUCAGAAGCAUCUAUGUUGAGGAGGUGUUGGGAGCAGUGUAUCUGAAGUGUCAGCUCUAUCCUAAAUAAUGCACAGCACUGAACUAGCAUGUGUUAGCUAAGUGAAUAUAGUUCCUUCAUUUGUUUUCUCUAUGUAUUGUUUUUAAUUAAUAUGAGGCUAUUGUAACUCAAGACAUUCUAAAGCUAUGUUUAUGUAAUACAUUUAGAACUAGGAUAUUCUCUCUCUCUCUCUCUCUCUCUCUCUCUCUCUCUGUGAGUGUGUGUGUGUGUGUGUGUGUGUGUGCAUUCUUUUGGGGAGGCAGUCUUGUUGUUGUGUAGCCCAAGCUGAGCUCACACUCUUCCUGCCUCAACCUCCCAACCUCCCAAAGCCAAUAUUGCAGGUAUCUGCCUAUAUUUCUAUACUUUAGUCAAUAUAAUUUAACUAAAUGGUCUUCAGAAUUUCCCUAACUUAUUCAGCCAUUUAUUUAUCAAAGGAAACUUAGAGUUUCCAAGCUUUCAUUAUUUUAACUGAGUGUGUAUAAUGAAUAACUUUGCAAUUAACUAUUUCUGAAAAUUUUCUUAUACUAUUUUGGUUAACACGCUUGUUUAAGACACACUUGCUUUGUCUCAUGUCAGUGAGCAUUGUAACAUAAUCUCUGACUUGAAGUCCACUUAGAUGACAUUCAGGAAUGAGAUGAAGUCUUGUUUACCCACUGUGUCCCUCUUCUGACACAUCAGUACACCAUUUAUCUCUGCCUGGGCUGUCUAGGGUGAUUAUGUUUAAGCACAUGAACUGGUUUCUAUUGGUUUCUGAAGACACAUGGCAGCUGGUACCUAAUGUAGCUCCCUGCAGAAAUCAAAUCAUGAAUCUUAAGAAACUGCUCUUGACAUUAACUAAUUUAAUAAGGGUUGCCAUCUAUUUCUCAAAUUGGGAAAGAAGCAUAACAAAAAUUGUUUCACAAAGAUUGUUUUUCAGAAAAAUACCACCACUGUGAAUAAAAUCUGGUCUCAGGGUCUUAGAA